GAGUAAGUAAACCAGAAGGGCGGGAAGAACCGCGAAUCAAAACCUACUACAAGAAAUUAGAUCUAUAACGACCAAUAUUUAACGACGGGCGCAAUAAAUGGUCGCUAAAAGCAACCAACUUAUAAUAAUUUUUUAUAUUGCUAUUUGGUAACCAAUAAUUAGCGACAAAAUAUUUUUUUUGUCGUUAUUAGUAGAUCGAUCCGUUGUUAAUUAAAAAGAUAUUUCGGCAGGCCUGAAAUUUUUAGCGAUGAAAUUUUUUUUUUUUCUUCGUUGUUAAUAAACCGACUAAAAUUUUUAGCGAUAAAAUAUUUUUUUCGCCGUUGUUAAUAGACCGACAAAAAUUUUUCGCGAUGAAAUAUUUUUUUCAUCGUUGUUCAUAGAUGAAUUUGUCAAAAUAUUUUUUGACGAAAUUCAGUAGCGAAUAUUUGGCGGCGACAUAUUUUUUCCGUCAUUGUUAGUAGUAGGCCUGAAU
rnacentral:lncRNA from 1 species